GUUAGUUUAUUUCAGUGGUUAGAACUUGUGCCUUCUGACCGGAAGGUUCCGGGAUCGAAUCUCGUCAGAGGCAGCA
rnacentral:tRNA from 1 species